rnacentral:rRNA from 1 species
GAUGAACGCUAGCUACAGGCUUAACACAUGCAAGUCGAGGGGAAACGAUAUUGGAAGCUUGCUUCCGAUAGGCGUCGACCGGCGCACGGGUGAGUAACGCGUAUCCAACCUGCCCACCACUUGGGGAUAACCUUGCGAAAGUAAGACUAAUACCCAAUGAUACCUCUAGAAGACAUCUGAAGGAGAUUAAAGAUUUAUCGGUGAUGGAUGGGGAUGCGUCUGAUUAGCUUGUUGGCGGGGUAACGGCCCACCAAGGCGACGAUCAGUAGGGGUUCUGAGAGGAAGGUCCCCCACAUUGGAACUGAGAUACGGUCCAAACUCCUACGGGAGGCAGCAGUGAGGAAUAUUGGUCAAUGGGCGAGAGCCUGAACCAGCCAAGUAGCGUGCAGGAUGACGGCCCUAUGGGUUGUAAACUGCUUUUAUAAGGGAAUAAAGUGAGCCUCGUGAGGCUUUUUGCAUGUACCUUAUGAAUAAGGACCGGCUAAUUCCGUGCCAGCCGCCGCGGUAA